GGAAGUACUGUUCUCUCCCUGUCGGUGCAGCGAUGCUUCCCGAAGCUAUCACUUCUUCAAAACCACAGUUUGAAGACUUCCACCUCACAGGCUCAGCGUCCACAUCACCGAGGAACUGGAAUCCUGACUCAGCUAAAAGUAACUCCACUCGGUCAUCUUUCUCUCCUGCAGAGCCUGAAGAUACCCACAGUACACAGAGCAAAAAGUGUCUCCAUGAUAUUUAUGGAAAGAAGGAAUGAAAGAAGGGUGAGAAAAAAGAAAAGUAAGGAAUAGGGAUGGAGAGCUCAGGAAGAUUGACUUGGAAGAUGUGACCCACCUCCCAUAUCUGCAGCUAUGCUCACCAACCCGUGUGAAGAUAUGUGAAGUCCUAGUCUACCCAGCUCUGUGACACGUGCAUAUCUUUAGUGACGUGGACAGACCCUCCUUGGCCGUGAGUCACUUGUGGACCCGCCUUUUGGCCAUUUGCCCACUAGAGUCACCUCCUUCCAUCGCCAAAGCAGUGGGAUCGCUGGAUUUUCAUUUGGCUAGCUGAUGUUGCAGGAAGGAACUGAGGAGACAGACACAACUCAGCACCAACUCUACCCUUACCUUGGGGAAACCCUCUAUUCCAAACACCCCAGUGCUCAGACAGAGAAUACUGUGUCCUUUUGGUUCAUUGUCUUCAAAGAUUAGCACUCAUGGUCAAUUUGAUGACACAAUCUAGACUCACCUGGGAAGAGAGUCUAAAUAGGGGAUAAUCUAUUUAGACUGCGCCAGGGGCCUGUCGGGAAUUCCCUAAUUACAUUAGCUGAUAUGUGAAGCCCCAGCCCACUGUGGGCAGCACCAUCCCUUAGUUAGGGGGGUCUUAGACUGUGUAAAAAUGGAGAAAUGAAGUUGAAGGUGAGCAAGCAACCAGAUGAACAUGCAAGCACUCAUUUCUCUGCGUGGGACUGGAUGUCACAUGACCAGCUCCUAUCUAUAAUCUGGAAUUGUAAGCCAAAAAUAAGCCCCUUUCUCUCAUAA